AGCGGCCGCGGUAAUUCCAGCUCCAAUAGCGUAUAUUAAAGUUGUUGCAGUUAAAAAGCUCGUAGUUGAAUUUCGGGGUCAGUAGUUUGGUCGUGCCAACGGUAUGUACUGGGCUCACUGAUUCCUCCUUCCUGAUGAACUGUAAUGCCAUUAAUUUGGUGUUGCAGGGAAACUGGACUGUUACUUUGAAAAAAUUAAGAGUGUUUAAAGCAAGCUAACGCUUGAAUACAUUAGCAUGGAAUAAUGAAAUGGGACGUUCGAUCCUAUUUUGUUGGUUUCUAGGAUUGACGUAAUGAUUAAUAGGGAUAGUUGGGGGCAUUAGUAUUCAAUUGUCAGGGGUGAAAUUCUUGGAUUUAUUGAAGACUAACUACUGCGAAAGCAUUUGCCAAGGAUGUUUUCAUUAAUCAAGAACGAAAGUUAGGGGAUCGAAGACGAUCAGAUACCGUCGUAGUCUUAACCAUAAACUAUGCCGACUAGGGAUCGGAUGAUGUUAAUUUUUAAUGACUCAUUCGGCGCCUUA
rnacentral:rRNA from 1 species